AGAUUGAACGCUGGCGGCAGGCCUAACACAUGCAAGUCGAGCGGUAGAGAGGUGCUUGCAUCUCUUGAGAGCGGCGGACGGGUGAGUAAUGCCUAGGAAUCUGCCUAGUGGUGGGGGAUAACGUUCGGAAACGGACGCUAAUACCGCAUACGUCCUACGGGAGAAAGCGGGGGACCUUCGGGCCUCGCGCCAGUUAGAUGAGCCUAGGUCGAUUAGCUAGUUGGUGAGGUAAUGGCUACACCAAGGCGACGAUCCGUAGCUGGUCUGAGAGGAUGAUCAGUCACACUGGAACUGAACGCACGGUCAG
rnacentral:rRNA from 1 species